rnacentral:rRNA from 1 species
AACGAACGCUGGCGGCAGGCUUAACACAUGCAAGUCGAACGGGUGCAGCAAUGCAUCAGUGGCAGACGGGUGAGUAACACGUGGGAACCUUCCUAAGGGUACGGAACAACUCAGGGAAACUUGAGCUAAUACCGUAUACGUCCGUGAGGAGAAAGAUUUAUCGCCCUUAGACGGGCCCGCGUCGGAUUAGCUAGUUGGUGGGGUAACGGCCUACAAAGGCGACGAUCCGUAGCUGAUCUUAGAGGAUGACCAGCCACACUGGGACUGAGACACGGCCCAGACUCCUACGGGAGGCAGCAGUGGGAAAUUUGGGACAAUGGGCGAAAGCCUGAUCAAGCCAUGCCGCGUGAGUGAAGAAGGUCUUCGGAUUGUAAAGCUCUUUUGCCAGGGACGAUAAUGCCGGUACCUGGAGAAUAAGCCCCGGCAAACUUCGUGCCAGCAGCCGCGGUAA